UUGUAGCAUAAAAGGAGAGAUGUUUGGCAACUCCCCUAGACAAGGAUG
rnacentral:snRNA from 1 species